UCUGGUUGAUCUGCCAGAGGCGACCGCUAUUGGAGUUCGAUUAAGCCAUGCGAGUCGAGAGGGUUCGGCCCUCGGCAUACUGCUCAGUAACACGUGGAUAACCUGCCCUAUGCUCGAGGAUAACCUCGGGAAACUGAGAAUAAUACUCGAUAGUCCACAACGCCUGGAACGGUGUGUGGAUCAAAGGUUACGGCAUAGGAUGGGUCUGCGGCGUAUCAGGUCGUAGGGGGUGUAAUGGACCUCCUAGCCAUUGACGCGUACGGGUUGUGGGAGCAAUAGCCCGGAGAUGGAUUCUGAGACACGAAUCCAGACCCUACGGGGUGCAGCAGGCGCGAAAACUUCACACUGCAGGAAACUGUGAUGAGGGAACUCCAAGUGCAUGCACUAUGUGUAUGCUUUUCUUAACUUUUAAUCGGUUUUGGAAUAAGGGCUGGGAAAGACCGGUGCCAGCCGCCGCGGUAAUACCGGCAGCUCAAGUGGUCAUCGCUUUUAUUGGGCCUAAAACGUCCGUAGCCUGUUUAGUAAAUUCGUGGGUAAAUCAACCAGCUUAACUGGUUGAAUUCUGCAAAGACUGCUAGACUAGGGACCGGGAGAGGUGUGAGGUACUCUAGGGGUAGAGGUAAAAUUCUGUCAUCCUUGGAGGACCACCAGUUGCGAAGGCGUCACACUAGAACGGAUCCGACGGUCAGGGACGAAGCCUAGGGGCACGAACCGGAUUAGAUACCCGGGUAGUCCUAGGUGUAAACGCUGUGAACUUGGUGUCGGGAUUCCGUCAGGGGACCUCGGUGCCGAAGUGAAGAUGUUAAGUUCACUGCCUGGGGAGUACGGUCGCAAGGCUGAAACUUAAAGGAAUUGGCGGGGGAGCACUGCAACGGGAGGAGCGUGCGGUUUAAUUGGAUUCAACGCCGGA
rnacentral:rRNA from 1 species